UCUAUUCUGCUACCAUCGCCCAUAUACUAGAAUUGCUCUACUCUCUAUUCCCAUAUUAUCACUCACUGUUAUCUUACCUUUAAUAUUGUUCUUAUUCGAUUCUAUCAUCUUUCCUAUUUACACCUAUCUAUCUAUCUUGGUUAAGUUAGUGCGUAGUUGGUUCUCCCGUUUCCCUGUGGAUACGAUAAAACCUUUAACCGGGUAAAAGCUUCAACGGUAUCCGUGCGCUUGCGGAUUAUCUGUGUGCGUAUAAAUACCAUAGUACACUCUAGUGCCACGC
rnacentral:lncRNA from 1 species